rnacentral:rRNA from 1 species
AACGAACGCUGGCGGCAUGCCUAACACAUGCAAGUCGAACGAAGCCUUCGGGCUUAUUGGCGCACGGGUUCGUAACGCGUGGGAAUCUUCCCCUUGCUUCGGAAUAACAGUUAGAAAUGACUGCUAAUACCGGAUGAAGUCUUCUGACCAAAGAUUUAUUGGCAAGGGAUGAGCCCGCGUAGGAUUCGGUAGUUGGAGGGGUAACGGCCUACAAAGCCGACGAUCCUUAGCUGGUCUGAGAGGAUGAUCAGCCACACUGGGACUGAGACACGGCCCAGACUCGUAGGGAAGGCAGAAGUGGGGAAUGUGGGACACUGACGCAAGUCUGAUCCAGCAAUGCCGCGUGAGUGAUGAAGGCCUUAGGGUUGUAAAGCUCUUUUACCAGGGUUGAUAAUGACAGUACCUAGAGAAUAAGCUCCGGCUAACUACGUG